ACAGCAGCCGCCACGGGAAAACAGAGGAUGCAAGCGUUAUCCGGAAUGAUUGGGCGUAAAGCGGGCGCAGACGGUUACUUAAGCAGGAUGUGAAAUCCCCGGGCUCAACCUGGGAACUGCGUUCUGAACUGGGUGACUAGAGUGUGUCAGAGGGAGGUAGAAUUCCACGUGUAGCAGUGAAAUGCGUAGAGAUGUGGAGGAAUACCGAUGGCGAAGGCAGCCUCCUGGGAUAACACUGACGUUCAUGCCCGAAAGCGUGGGUAGCAAACAGGAUUAGAUACCCGCGUAGUCCCUGUCUCUUAUAC
rnacentral:rRNA from 1 species